AUGAAAAGCAAGGUCUGCAUCUCUCUUGUAAUCCUCGCGCUAGCUGUGCUCCCUGGCCUGGGCAUGAAGGCGGCCGCGCUCGCCGGCGGAACGGCUACCACCGAGGACGCGGCGGCGUCGCAGAUGAUGGCGAUAUCGCCAUCAUCGAUGAAGCUAGAAGACGGCGUGCCGCCAGAGCUUGCGGUGGUGGACUUGGAGGUGCACCGCCGCGUCCUCACGGGCACAAACAUCAGCCCGAAUAACGGCCUGAAUCCCUACAGGCCAGUCUGCAACCCCGCGUGCACACCCGGAAAGUCGUACAAUUUCCAAGGCCGGCCGUGCGCCAAUAUUUACAUGUGCGUCGGUCACAGAUAA
rnacentral:rRNA from 1 species